rnacentral:rRNA from 1 species
UGGGGAAUCUUGCACAAUGGGCGAAAGCCUGAUGCAGCGACGCCGCGUGGGGGAGGAAGGCCCUAGGGUUGUAAACCCCUGUCAGGCGGGAAGAAACUCGGGUCGGCGAACAGUCGGUCCGGUUGACGGUACCGCCAGAGGAAGCUCCGGCUAACUCCGUGCCAGCAGCCGCGGUAAAACGGAGGGAGCGAGCGUUGUCCGGAAUCACUGGGCGUAAAGGGCGCGUAGGCGGCCGCGUGAGUCGUAUGUGAAAGGCCGGGGCUUAACCCCGUGCAUUGCAUGCGAUACUGCGUGGCUAGAGACAGGCAGGGGCGAGCGGAAUUCCCGGUGUAGCGGUGGAAUGCGUAGAUAUCGGGAGGAACACCCGUGGCGAAGGCGGCUCGCUGGGCCUCGUCUGACGCUGAAGCGCGAAAGCGUGGGGAGCAAACAGGAUUAGAUACCCCCGUAGUCC